UAUAGCUCAGUUGGUAGAGUGCUUGCCUCGCAUGCACAAGGCCCUAGGUUCAAUCCCUAGUGGAA
rnacentral:tRNA from 1 species